AAUCAACGCUGGCGGCGUGCCUAACACAUGCAAGUCGAGCGAGAAAGGGUAGCAAUACCUGAGUAAAGCGGCGCACGGGUGAGUAACACGUGGGUAAUCUGCCCUUGAGUGGGGAAUAACACCGGGAAACCGGUGCUAAUACCGCAUACGAUCGCGGGGUCUUCGGAUCCUGUGAUGAAAGCAGCAAUGCGCUCUUGGAGGAGCCCGCGGCUGAUUAGCUAGUUGGAAGGUAAUGGCUUACCAAGGCUACGAUCAGUAUCCGGUCUGAGAGGACGGUCGGACACACUGGAACUGAGACACGGUCCAGACUCCUACGGGAGGCAGCAGUGGGGAAUUUUUGGCAAUGGGGAAACCCUGACCAAGCAACGCCGCGUGGAUGAUGAAGUAUCUU
rnacentral:rRNA from 1 species